UGUGUAUAUUUAUAACGUAGCCGCAAACUCAACUUUCUAAAGCAAGCGUUUGUCCGAUUAUCGCUUUUUUUUAUUCUUUUGAUCCCUUGAAUCCCUGAUAAACAAGUGCUUAACUUAUAAAAUGCUACUUGCUUAAAAUCUAUCUGCCUUUUUCUAGGAAACUGCAAAAAAUUGCGUUGCCGAAUGCUGAUGCUCUAAAGUAAUAGAAUAAGGAAUUCGUUGAUUUCCGUUUAGCAAAAUAUAGGUAGUUGGUAUGUCAAACAAUAUGGUGUGAUGCAUAUGCACCCACGAGCACUUGCUAGUGCAACUAUUUACGCCUAGAAGUCACCUCCAUAGAAAAUUAAAAAUGGACUGAAAAGGUGAAACGGAUUAAAAUAAAAAUCAUAAUAAAAUCAGUUUGAAAUAUAAUCCUUCAGUCAACUUUGAUUUGUUUUCCAUAAUGGGCAACGUCAGCAUUAUUUACAAUUCGGUUCAACAAGCGUGAGAAAUUAACAAAAAUGAGGUUUUUUAGCAGGAAAUAUGACAGUUUUUUUGCAUUGAGUUUAAUUUUUCAUUCUAACUCUUUUGAAGGAAGUAUCAGAAAGUGAACCUUGAAUUUUGGUAAUUAAUGCUAACAACUUUAUCCCACUGAUUUGCAUACCCUGUAUAACCUUACUCUUUAUAAUGAUAUGUAUUGCAUUAAAG